rnacentral:SRP_RNA from 1 species
GCUGGGCGUGGUGGCUCACGCCUGUAAUCCCAGCACUUUGGGAAGCUGAGGUGGGCGGAUCACCUGAGGUCAGGAGUUUGAGACCAGCCUGGCCAACAUGGUGAAACUCCGUCUCUA